GCGGGGGAUAACUAUUUGGAAACGAUAGCUAAUACCGCAUAACAGCAUUUAACCCAUGUUAGAUGCUUGAAAGGAGCAAUUGCUUCACUAGUAGAUGGACCUGCGUUGUAUUAGCUUAGUUGGUGAGGUAACGGCUCACCAAGGCGACGAUACAUAGCCGACCUGAGAGGGUGAUCGGCCACACUGGGACUGAGACACGGCCCAAGACUCCUACGGGAGGCAGCAGUAGGGAAUCUUCGGCAAUGGGGGCAACCCUGACCGAGCAACGCCGCGUGAAGUGAAGAAGGUUUUCGGGAUCGUAAAGCUCUGUUGUAAGAGAAGAACGUGUGUGAGAGUGGAAAGUUCACACAGUGACGGUAACUUACCCAGAAAGGGACGGCUAAACUACGUGCCAGCAGCCGCGGUAAUACGUAGGUCCCGAGCGUUGUCCGGAUUUAUUGGGCGUAAAGCGAGCGCCAGGCGGUUUAAUAAAGUCUGAAGUUAAAGGCAGUGGCUUAACCAUUGUUCGCUUGGAAAACUGUUAGACUUGAGUGCAGAAGGGGAGAGUGGAAUUCCAUGUGUAGCGGUGAAAAUGCGUAA
rnacentral:rRNA from 1 species